UUAAAUAUUUGGAUAUGACCUGAAUCUCAAAGAUAAGGGAAAGUGACCCAGAAUUCCCAGGGCAUGGUUCAUGCACCACAGAGAAAAAGGGAGGUGGUGAUAUUAUGACAGUUAAGCCAGGCUCAGAAAACAUAUAUUGCAAAGCAAAUGUGAGGUUGAGGAAUUCAGACCAAUAUGAGUUGACUGCUUCUGUCUCUUAAGGAUGUGAAGGCUGGCGCCAAGGAAGUAGGCGCCUUGCUCACUCCUUUUCUGACUCCUGUAGCUUAGCCAACCAUCUGGAACACUCCCACCUUCUUCAUUCAGUAUCUGUGGAAUAAUUUAAUUCUAGAUGUUCUGAGUGAAACAUAUUGGGGGAACCCUUGAUGAGAUGAGGAACAGUUUUAGAAGAAAACCUCAAUGACACAGUGUAAUGCACAAUGUUUGAGGGAAGUCAGUGUUCUUCACAUAGCUAUUGGAGGUCAAUGUCUUGGUUUACCACAAAGUUGAAGAGUUUCAGUGGCAACAUAAAUAUUCCAAUUUAAAUGUUUUCAGUCCUCAUCCAUCAUGUUGUCAGAAAGCCACUGUCCUCACAUGUUUUAAUGAAUACACAGUAAUGGCAUGAGACAUCUAAGCUGGUCAGAUUGUGUCAGCUAGUUCUUGCACCCCUCUUCCUAGCUGUUGCUAGUGGGUGAUCUGAACACUCAUUCUUUAUGAUCAAACUGGGAGUUACGUGAGGUUAAAGCAGGGAGUAUAUCACGUCAACAUUAUUGCCUUUCUCAGAUAUUUGACAUAUUUUCUUAUUCUCUUCAAUGAAUUCCAAGAGUUUUACCAUAUUUCAUGUUAAUUUAUGAUGCAAAGCUUUUGCAAUUGGGUCUCCAUGAUUGAAGAAAAUUUAUCCAUUUUCAAAUUCAUAGAAAUUUGUAGCAAAUUAAUAAUAUGUCAGCCUAUAGGACAUGGAAGAGAAAUAAAGAUGGAAUAAACAUACUUUCCCCGGAUAAGUUACCAUACUAGAAAAUGUGAUAGUUCAGUUGGGUAUAGAAAACCAUCACUCCAUUAAGCAGAGAAAAGGCAAAAGGCAUUGCAAAGAAUAGCAAGGGUUGUAAGGUAGUGUAAUAAUUUCAAAUAAUGGCAAGGUUAUCAGUGAAGGUAUCAUACGCAGGGAAUGGUGGAAAAGAGUGUUUGAAAUAAAGUACAGAGCCAGUUACUAGUUAUCAUGCUAAAAGUUAAACAAUAGUGACAUUUUUCUUCAUAUUUCUUUUGUAGUUUGCACUCGCAAGUGAUUACCUGAUACAAAAUAUCUAGAACAUUUUAAUUCAUUUCACUGGGAGGAAAGCAAACUUUCAUCCAGAAAGAAAUUCUCUAAUUUCCUAAUAGGAUUAAUUUUGCACAUUCUUUCCAUUGGAAAUGAAUAUUUCACAUUUUAUUUGUUACAUUUUCUGGGAAGAAAAGCUAGAUAUCUGAUCAUGAAUUUUAAAGAGUUGAAUUUUGUUUUUAUAUAGCACAUUCUGACAGAAAAUAUCAAGAUGAAUUGAGGGCAAGGUGCACAUCUCUUUUUCCCCUUUACAGUAUUUUAAUUCAGCCAUAAUUUCCUAUCAUUUUAUACCAAUAUACCAUGUAAAUUUCUGAUUUUGACCUGGUCAUUUUCUCAUGUUAUUUGUUCUGACUUCAUAGAGACAAGCUCUUCCUGAAACCUUUAUAUCCAAAUCCAGUAUUAUACUCUUCAGGCACUACAACAAAUCUUGGCUCAUCUGUAAAUCGUGUCUGAUUAGAGACUCCAAAUAAAAGGU
rnacentral:lncRNA from 1 species